GACGAACCGUGCGAACGUUGUUCGGAAUCACUGGGCUUAAAGAGCGUGUAGGCGGCCAGGUAGGUCGGUUGUGAAAACUGGAGGCUCAACCUUCAGAGGUCGACCGAAACCAUCUGGCUAGAGUCCGGGAGAGGAGAGUGGAAUUCCUGGUGUAGCGGUGAAAUGCGCAGAUAUCAGGAAGAACACCCGUGGCGAAAGCGGCUCUCUGGAACGGUACUGACGCUGAGACGCGAAAGCGUGGGGAGCGAACAGG
rnacentral:rRNA from 1 species